AUUAAACGCUGGCGGCAUGCCUUACACAUGCAAGUCGAACGGCAGCACGGGGCAACCUGGUGGCGAGUGGCGAACGGGUGAGUAAAGCAUCGGAACGUGCCCUGGAGUGGGGGAUAACGUAGCGAAAGUUACGCUAAUACCGCAUAUUCUGUGAGCAGGAAAGCAGGGGAUCGCAAGACCUUGCGCUCUGGGAGCGGCCGAUGUCGGAUUAGCUAGUUGGUGGGGUAAAGGCCUACCAAGGCGACGAUCCGUAGCGGGUCUGAGAGGAUGAUCCGCCACACUGGGACUGAGACACGGCCCAGACUCCUACGGGAGGCAGCAGUGGGGAAUUUUGGACAAUGGGCGCAAGCCUGAUCCAGCCAUGCCGCGUGAGUGAAGAAGGCCUUCGGGUCGUAAAGCUCUUUCGGCCGGGAAGAAAUCGCAUGGGUCAAUACCCUGUGUGGAUGACGGUACCGGAAUAAGAAGCACCGGCUAACUACGUG
rnacentral:rRNA from 1 species